rnacentral:rRNA from 1 species
CUACGGGUGGCUCCAGUGAGGAAUAUUGCACAAUGGGGGGAACCCUGACGCAGCAACGCCGCGUGGAGGAUGACGCAUUUCGGUGUGUAAACGCCUUUUAUAUGUCAAGAAAAUGACGGUAGCAUAUGAAUAAGCACCGGCUAACUCCGUGCCAGCAGCCGCGGUAAUACGGAGGGUGCAAGCGUUACUCGGAAUCACUGGGCGUAAAGGACGCGUAGGCGGGUUGGAAAGUCAGGUGUGAAAUCCUACAGCUUAACUGUAGAACUGCACUUGAAACUUCUAAUCUAGAGUAUGGGAGGGGGAGAUGGAAUUAGUGGUGUAGGGGUAAAAUCCGUAGAUAUCACUAGGAAUACCUAAAGCGAAGGCGAUCUCCUGGAACAUUACUGACGCUAAGGCGUGAAAGCGUGGGGAGCAAACAGGAUUAGAUACCCGCGUAGUC